UAGCGGGGGAUAACUAUGGAAACGAUAGCUAAUACCGCAUAAGAGGUAAUAACACAUGUUAUUAGUUUAAAAGGGGCAAUUGCUCCACUAUCAGAUGGACCUGCGUUGUAUUAGCUAGUUGGUAAGGUAACGGCUUACCAAGGCGACGAUACAUAGCCGACCUGAGAGGGUGAUCGGCCACACUGGGACUGAGACACGGCCCAGACUCCUACGGGAGGCAGCAGUAGGGAAUCUUCGGCAAUGGGGGCAACCCUGACCGAGCAACGCCGCGUGAGUGAAGAAGGUUUUCGGAUCGUAAAGCUCUGUUGUAAGAGAAGAACGGAUGUGGGAGUGGAAAAUCCAUGUCGUGACGGUAUCUUACCAGAAAGGGACGGCUAACUACGUGCCAGCAGCCGCGGUAAUACGUAGGUCCCGAGCGUUGUCCGGAUUUAUUGGGCGUAAAGCGAGCGCAGGCGGUUUCAUAAGUCUGAAGUUAAAGGCAGUGGCUUAACCAUUGUACGCUUUGGAAACUGUGAGACUUGAGUGCAGAAGGGGAGAGUGGAAUUCCAUGUGUAGCGGUGAAAUGCGUAGAUAUAUGGAGGAACACCGGUGGCGAAAGCGGCUCUCUGGUCUGUAACUGACGCUGAGGCUCGAAAGCGUGGGGAGCAAACAGGAUUAGAUACCCUGGUAGUCCACGCCGUAAACGAUGAGUGCUAGGUGUUGGGUCCUUUCCGGGACUCAGUGCCGCAGCUAACGCAUUAAGCACUCCGCCUGGGGAGUACGACCGCAAGGUUGAAACUCAAAGGAAUUGACGGGGGCCCGCACAAGCGGUGGAGCAUGUGGUUUAAUUCGAAGCAACGCGAAGAACCUUACCAGGUCUUGACAUCCCGAUGCCCGCUCUAGAGAUAGAGUUUUUCUUCGGAACAUCGGUGACAGGUGGUGCAUGGUUGUCGUCAGCUCGUGUCGUGAGAUGUUGGGUUAAGUCCCGCAACGAGCGCAACCCUUAUUGUUAGUUGCCAUCAUUCAGUUGGGCACUCUAGCGAGACUGCCGGUAAUAAACCGGAGGAAGGUGGGGAUGACGUCAAAUCAUCAUGCCCCUUAUGACCUGGGCUACACACGUGCUACAAUGGCUGGUACAACGAGUCGCAAGUCGGUGACGGCAAGCUAAUCUCUUAAAGCCAGUCUCAGUUCGGAUUGUAGGCUGCAACUCGCCUGCAUGAAGUCGGAAUCGCUAGUAAUCGCGGAUCAGCACGCCGCGGUGAAUACGUUCCCGGGCCUUGUACACACCGCCCGUCA
rnacentral:rRNA from 1 species